ensembl:lncRNA
GCUGCGUUAGCGCUGAGGAUUUCUGAAAGCAUUUCAAUUCUGCAUGCAAACUAAUAGAGGCCCAUUCUCUCUGCAGGUGCUGAUGGUACACUCUUGAAGAUUGGGAAUCCUGCUGGCUUUUAAGAGACACAGAUCUGGAUGGAUAUCUGAAUGCAGCCCAUUUAGUUCUGUUCAUCAGUUUGCGUGGAGUACAAGAACACACCCUCGGUGUUAUAUAGUAUAAUGCACGGUUUGGACAAAACUGAGACUGAAUGUACAAUAAUUUCUAUUUUAUGAAGAAAACAAACAACCAGGAGUUGCCUUAACAGCUGCAUAUCUGGGGGGGUUUGUUUUUUUUGACAGACGUCACAGACUUACACACUUACAUUAUCAGGUAGUGUGUAGGUUUGCAUAAAGGUAUCAUAAAGCCAAAAAAACAAAGAUAGCUCAGAGGUUCUCAAACUUAUGCAGCCUGUUACCCAAUUAACUGUAAAAUAAAUUCCAUGGGGUUCCUCAGUACCCAGAUAUCCAUCCAUCUAUCCAUUUUCUGUACCACUUAUCCUAUACAGGGUUGCAGGGAGCCUUCAGCCUAUUCCAAGGAAACUUGGAGAACAAGGCAGGGGACACCAUGGACAGGGUGCCAACCCAUCUCAGGGCACUUAGUAAUGCCAAUCAGCCUACAACGCAUGUCUUUGGACUGGGGGAGGAAACCGGAGUACCCGGAGGAAACCCCUGAAGCACAGGGAGAACAUGCAAGCUCUAUGCACACGGAGCAGAGGUGGGAUUUGAACCCCCACGCCCGGUGGGUCAUGGGGGAGCCUGGAUCUUAUCCCACUGAACAAGUGGCACAAAGCAGGGGACACCCUGGACAAGGUGCCAACCCAUCACAGGGUACAAUCACACAUCAGCAGACAACACGUCUUUGGAUUGGGGAAGGAAUCCGGAGUACGCAUAGGAAACCUCUAUUAAUCCAUGUGCAACUAAAAGCCACAGAUUCUAACUCCUUCUGGGAGUAUGUUUCCAAGCCAAAUGUGAGGUAUAAUCUCUCCAAUGGGUUCUGGGUCUGCCCCAGGGUCUCCGUCCUGUGGGACAUGCCUGAUACAGCUCUAGAAGGUGCCAGCUCUUGAUCCGGCUCUUGUAAAAUGGCCAAGCCACAUCAAUUGGCUCCUCUCAGUUCAGCAUCAACCAUGCAGAGAAUCCUUCUUUCCUCCACCUGUACUCACAGCAUUUUUCUUUCAAUUACUACCCACAGCCCGUGACCACAGGUGAGGAUAAAGACAUAGACUGACUGGUAAACAGAGAGCUUUGUUUGCAAACUGAGCUCCUUCACAACCACAG